CGAACGGGUGAGUAACGCGUGAGGAACCUGCCUCAAAGAGGGGGACAACAGUUGGAAACGACUGCUAAUACCGCAUAAGCCCACGGGUCGGCAUCGACCCGAGGGAAGAGGAGCAAUCCGCUUUGAGAUGGCCUCGCGUCCGAUUAGCUAGUUGGUGAGGUAAUGGCCCACCAAGGCGACGAUCGGUAGCCGGACUGAGAGGUUGAACGGCCACAUUGGGACUGAGACACGGCCCAG
rnacentral:rRNA from 1 species